rfam:Sphingobacterium sp. ACCC 05744 h2623, whole genome shotgun sequence.
GGGGAAGUCGUUUAGAGGCUAGGACGCAAGAUACCUGAGAUCCGUUUUACGGGGAGGCCUUGAAACAGUGGUUCGAAUCCACUCUUUCCCA